rnacentral:rRNA from 1 species
CCUACGGGAGGCUGCAGUGGGGAAUAUUGCACAAUGGGGGAAACCCUGAUGCAGCGACGCCGCGUGAGUGAAGAAGUAAUUCGUUAUGUAAAGCUCUAUCAGCAGGGAAGCAAAUGACGGUACCUGAGUAAGAAGCCCCGGCUAACUACGUGCCAGCAGCCGCGGUAAGACGUAGGGGGCCAGCGUUAUCCGGAUUUACUGGGUGUAAAGGGAGCGUAGACGGCAGUGCAAGUCUGGAGUGAAAGGCGGGGGGUCAACCCCCGGACUGCGCUGGAAACUGUACGGCUGGAGUGCAGGAGAGGUAAGUGGAAUGCGUGGUGUAGCGGUGAAAUGCGUAGAUAUUAGGAGGAACACCAGUGGCGAAGGCGGCUUACUGGACUGUAACUGACGUUGAGGCUCGAAAGCGUGGGGAGCAAACAGGAUUAGAUACCCCUGUAGUC